UACAGAGGGGGCAAGCGUUAUUCGGAAUUAUUGGGCGUAAAGGGCGCGUAGGCGGCCUGGCAAGUGGAUGGUGAAAUCCCUCGGCUUAACCGAGGAACUGCCAUCCAGACUGCUUGGCUUGAGACCGGGAGAGGUGAGUGGAAUUCCCAGUGUAGCGGUGAAAUGCGUAGAUAUUGGGAGGAACACCAGUGGCGAAGGCGGCUCACUGGUCCGGUACUGACGCUGAGGCGCGAAAGCGUGGGGAGCGAACAGG
rnacentral:rRNA from 1 species